GAUGAACGCUAGCGGCAGGCCUAAUACAUGCAAGUCGAACGGGAUCCAGAUCAAAGCUUGCUUUGGUUUGGUGAGAGUGGCGCACGGGUGCGUAACGCGUGAGCAACCUACCCUUGUCAGGGGGAUAGCCCGGCGAAAGUCGGAUUAAUACCGCAUGACAUCAUUGAGAGGCAUCUUUCGAUGAUCAAAGAUUUAUCGGACAAGGAUGGGCUCGCGUGACAUUAGCUAGUUGGUAAGGUAACGGCUUACCAAGGCUACGAUGUCUAGGGGCUCUGAGAGGAGAAUCCCCCACACUGGUACUGAGACACGGACCAGACGCCUACGGGAGGCAGCAGUAAGGAAUAUUGGUCAAUGGACGGAAGUCUGAACCAGCCAUGCCGCGUGCAGGAAGACGGCCCUAUGGGUUGUAAACUGCUUUUAUACGGGAACAAACGUCGGUACGUGUACCGGUCUGAGUGUACCGUAAGAAUAGGGAUCGGCUAACUCCGUG
rnacentral:rRNA from 1 species